rnacentral:rRNA from 1 species
UACAGAGGGGGCAAGCGUUAUUCGGAAUUAUUGGGCGUAAAGGGCGCGUAGGCGGCUUGGCAAGUGGAAGGUGAAAUCCCUCGACUUAACCGAGGAACUGCCCUCCAAACUGCUUUGCUUGAGGCCGGGAGAGGUGAGUGGAAUUCCCAGUGUAGCGGUGAAAUGCGUAGAUAUUGGGAGGAACACCAGUGGCGAAGGCGGCUCACUGGACCGGUUCUGACGCUGAGGCGCGAAAGCGUGGGGAGCAAACGGG